rnacentral:lncRNA from 1 species
UUUUUUUUUUUUUUUUUUUAAUAUUUAUUUAUUUAUUUAUUAUAUGUAAGUACACUGUAGCUGUCUUCAGACACUCCAGAAGAGGGCGUCAGAUCUUCUUACAGAUGGUUGUGAGCCACCAUGUGGUUGCUGGGAUUUGAACUCCAGACCUUCGGAAGAGCAGUCGGGUGCUCUUACCCACUGAGCCAUCUCACCAGCCCCAGAGACUGUUUCUUAAAAAGAAAAUGAGUGAAUGAUAGAAGGCACAAGGCCACUCCAUCUUAGGUUCAAGACUUAGUACUGUGAUAGACAGAGUUGUUUUUGUUUUUGUUUUUAGAUCAUUUGUCAAGAGACAAUAUGGGGAACUUAUCUAUCUAAUGGGGUUUAGGUGAAGGUAAUGGGCAAACCUAUUACAAAAGACCCUAUUAACACAAAAGCAGAGAUGGAAGAGCUGGGCCUGGUGGUGCAGGGCCGUGAUUCUGGCUACCUCAGAGGAGGCUGGAAGAGCAAGCAAAGCCUCUGGGCUUGCUUUCUUUCCUUUUCCUUUUUUCUUUUUGGCCUGACAUUUUUGUCUUCUCUGAGUUUCCAUUCUUCUACCUUUAUCACCAUUCCCUUCCAUCUCUACAGUUAGCUGAACCUCUCAAGGCCUACCUUACAAAGUGCAUAGGGAGAGUCAAAAGGCUAAAGACAUAAUUGUUGGGGUUAGUGUUUCUCGUUUUUGAGUAUAUUCUUCAAAACUUGAAACAUGGGCUUAAAGAAAGUAACCAGAUUUAUACUGAGAUUUGAGUCUUUGCUCUGACAUUUAUUUCCUGUGUGAUUAACUUCAGUUUUCCUAAUCUGCAAAGUUAGAUCUUCUUGUGGUUAUUGUGAUGCUAAUGGGUUACUGGAGGAAGCAGGUUGCUGAGGUUCAUCUUUGGACUGUAUAUUCCUGGGGCUGUAUUCCCCUUUCUCUGCUUCCUGUGUGCCCUGAGGUAAACUGCUCUGUUCCUUGACACUGGUGCAGUGUGAAACCAAAGAAGUUCUUGCUCCUUGAUAGGUAGAGAAAAGAAAAAGGGAGCAGAGAGAGUAAGAAGGGAAGAGACCUAAUAUCUAUUAGGUGGUGUCCACCUGCCAGUAACCGAAACAAAUUCUCAAAUUGUGUUUUAAAUACUUGGAUUUAAAAAGUGGUGACUCAGGCUCUGAACUUAAGUCUGCCCACCUUUAGAAAAGCAGUUCACUCCUAAACCCAGUUUCCUCAACUAUAAAAGGAGGAACAAAGGUAGGAAGCUUGAGGGUCCUCUCCCUUGUUCUGAGUUGUAUUUUUAUUCUGGCCUUUGCCCUUGGUUGAGAAGAUUUUGAUUUUUUUAAUUUAUGUGUAUGUGUGUGUAUGCCUCGUGGGAACCCUUGGAGGCCAGAAGAGAGUCCUUGGAGCUGGAGCUAUAGUUGGUUGUGAGCUGCCUGAUGUGACCAAAUCCAGGUAAUCUGCAAAUGCUGUUGACCAUGGAAUCAUCUUUCCAGCCUCAUGAAAGGGGUUUUCAAGAGUUGUGCUUUAGGGGCUGAAGAGAUGACACUGGAUGCUUCUUAGAGGUCUCAGGCCCUCUUUGGUCUCCACUGGAACUAGUGCAUAAGUGGUGCAUAGACAUAACAUUUGGGCAAAAUAACUGUAUACAUUAAAAAAAUGGCUUUGUCUUGCUCUAGAAUAUUUAGAAUCUUCUUGAAACCAACUUUUGUUAUUUUAAUCUGUCUGUUUUUACUUAUUCACUUUACAUGUUGUUUUCGGUUUUUUUCCUCCCAGCUGUAGAAAUGCCUUGUUUUCUCUAAUCCAGCCCGUUCAUAUAACAGAUAAUGCAGUAGAAUAGACUAGAAAGACACACCAGAAUUCUAGUUCCUGUCAGUAUUAGCUUAAUCUUUCAGAACCAUAUUGUUACCUGAAAGAGGGGAUAUUGAUAAUAGAGUAGACGUGUAGAGGAAUAAUACUGAGAUAAAGAAAGGAAAAAACUAAGGAUCAAGAAGUGAAGUAAGUCACUUGCUCAGACUAAAUUCUAAAUCUCUUCUGUCUCAUUCCAGGGUUUUCUUCUCUAGAGCCAAGGUCAUUUGCAUUCAUAUAUAUGUUGUAGCAAAGAUUGGAACAGAAAUGUCAGCUCUCCUAACAUCUUCAUCAACAGCCUUCUUAAGUCUCCUGUGGUGUGUGUCAAUAACAUAAGCUGUACUUGUUUUAGAAAAAAGCGCUUUAAAGACAUUCCUGUUUGGUUUACUUUGGCUGGUGGUACAAGAUCCAGAUGAUCUUAGACUAGCACAGCAGAUUGUCUAAUUAGCCCGUUCCCAUGGUGACACCCUCUGACCUGCGGGCUGGGGUUUGUCCCCGAGUCCUCUCUACCUGUCAUCAUGGGAAUCAGAAUCAUCAUUUUCAAUGAUUCAAUUAAAAAGAAAUCAAAUAAUUGUUUUCUUUUGCUAGUUUGCCCUUUCCCACUUAAGAAUCUUAAAACUAAUUCAUGUGCAUAGAUGCAUGCAUGCUAUUAGAAAUAAGUUUGCAAAGAAAGAGACCAUUGCUCCAAGGGUGUACUGUUCAUAGAAGCAGAUAAGCAAGCACACCCAUCUCUAUGGGAAGUGUUCUUGGUUUUUAUUCUGACACUGGUAGGGUCUGUGUCUUUUCUCCAUAGCCUAGGGUUCAGCCUCCUAUAGUCUCUUAAAAUUGGCUACUUUUGGGCUGGUGAUAUGGCUCAGCGGGUAAGAGCAUUGACUGCUCUUCUGAAGGUCCUGAGUUCAAAUCCUAGCAACCACAUGGUGGCUCACAACCACUGGUAAUGAGAUCUGAUGCCUUCUUCGACUGCAUCUGAGUCAGCUACAAUGUACUUAUGUAUAUUUAUGUAUAAUAAUAAGUAACUCUUUGGGCCUGGGCUGGCAGCGUUGACUGGAGCAAAUGGGGCCGACCGGAUUGAGUGGGGUUGAGCAGCAGAGGACCUAAAAAUUCAAUUCCCAACAACCACACGAAGGCUCACAAACAUCUGUACAGCUACAGUGUACUCACAUAAUAAAUUU